UUUCGAUGGUAGUGUAUUGGACCAGUUUGUGCUGAACGAAGAGGCCUUCUACCGGAACAUCGAGGAAGCCUUUGACUUCGUGACGAACCACGACCUGCUGCUGACCAUGGGCGUGGAGCCCACCCGACCGGAGCCAGGCUAUGGCUACAUCCAGAAGGGCGAGCCCCUGGAGGAGCAGGACUUCUACCAGGUGAAGUCGUUCACGGAGAAGCCAGAGCGCGAGUUUGCUCAGAUGUUCAUGGACAGCGGCGAGUUUCUGUGGAACACAGGACUCAUCUUCUCGAACGCCCGCUAUCUGAACCAUUGCUUCCGCAGGCUGUUCCCGGACGUGCUGGAACACAUAGACAUCCAUCUGGAGAAGUACACCAUCGAACAGGAGAUGGCAUUUGUCAACGAGCACUAUCCGUCGUACCCCAACCUGAGCAUCGACCGGGGUGUGCUGGAGCGCUGCGAGCACGUGUGCGUGAUGAAGUGCGACUUCGGAUGGGCAGACCUGGGCACGUGGCACUCCAUCUACGAGUGCAAGAGCCAGACGGCAGACGACAAUGUGGUGAUAGACUCGGAGGUGAUGAUGGAGAACUCGCACAACAAUGUGAUCAAGCUGCCCAAGGGGCGGCUGGGUGUCAUCAGCGGGCUGGAGGGUUACAUCGUGGCUGAGGAGGACAAUGUGCUGCUCAUCUGCAAAAAGGGUGACUCGUCUGCGCUGGUGCGGAAGUAUGUGAACGAGGUUCAGAUCAAGUACGGAGAAGAGUACGUGUGAGAAAUGCGGCGAAGCCGCGGUUCAACGGGCUUCGCCCAGUUCAAAGUUCAACGGGCUGCGCUCGGUUCAAAGAUGGAGGGAGAACUUGAAACCUUGAACCUUGAACCUUGAACCUUGAACCGCGGCUUUGCCGCAGUUCAACGGCCUUCGCCCCUUAGAACCGAUAGUGGAGCUGGAGGAGGAGGUCGAUGAUGGAUGAACGGCUGACUUGCUGGAGGCCAGUGGAGAUAACGGCACGAUCAAAGUAGUUGGUCGUGCCCAUUUUUGCUGUCAACUGGAAACGGCCCAGGUCAGCACGUGCCAUGAGGGAGUAGCGCAGGCCAUGACCGUCAUACAUCGGGAAGGAGAAGUCGUAACAAGGGAAGGAGAAGUCGUAACAAG
rnacentral:rRNA from 1 species